rnacentral:lncRNA from 1 species
CUUCCUGCCAUGUGGUGACAGAUUAAAAGCUGCUAUACACUUUGGAACUGGAAACUGAGCUCCCAAUAUAAAGGAGAUAAGCCAUCAUGCUUACAAUAUGUUGUGCAGAGCUCACUGGUGGGCAGUUUUUCUUAACAAUGCAUCAGGACUUUUGCUAUUUGUAAAGGAAGCUUAAAGGAAGCUGAGAGUGCUGAGGGCACAUCUGAAACCACUGGAGGUUGGCGACGUGGAGGUCAGGACGGAUGCGUGGCCAGCCUCAGGUUGCUAAAUGUUAGGGUGAUCUGCCUUCCUUCUGGGGCGGUGAUUCUCCACUUGUAGAUCCGGCCAUGAGGAUUUAGGUUCGGGUAGUUGGGAGAAGUAGAUGUUCCAGCAGAGCCCUGAAGAUCCCCACCACACUCUGAUGUGGGGGAAGAAAGCCAAGAAAACUUCCAAUCAAAUCAAAAUGUCUCCUUCCAUCAGGAAAGCUCUCAAAAUUCAGGGUUGAUGUAAACAGAAGUGAUACCACAAGUCCAAUCCAAUAAUGGGAAACAAGAUGACGACCAAAUGGCACAUUCUGUAAUGUCACAUUAAUUCUUUUGGGACACUAUGUAAGAGCUAUCAGUUGCAAGCAAGUUUCAUCUCAAGAACAAACUGGUAGACUCAUCUGACCUGCCUAGAACCUUGUGUUGAUUCUAAAGACUGAACCCAAGCUCACCUGGAAGGGGGGACACCUGCUAUAUCUAGUUUUACUAUCAACUAAACUUUCACUACUGUAACUGAUAUCUCAGGGCCUUGAAAAUUACUAUUCAAUUAUGUCUUAUUAGCUGGAUGUGGUAGCUAAUUGAAUUAUAUGCAGCUUGACCCGGGAUAUAAUAUGAUCUAUGGUGUAGUUAAAUACUGUUACAACUAGCCUUUCUGAACUUUUGCUAUAUUAAAUAUUUGUUUGGUUUGUGUCUAGACCUAUCAGAUACUAAAUUGUGUGCUAUUGUGACCAUACUAUAGUGAAUCUUCAACAAGCAAAGUUACUGCUCAAUUUUUAAGUAAGGAAAUCAAAAUCCUGAAGAGACAUAUUUGCUUUUUAUCCAGUGACUGAUUUGGCACUAGAGACUCAGAGAAAAAAAAAAAGCUUAAUCAUUUUAUAUAUGAUGAGGAAUUCAAAGACAUUGUUCUAAAUAUAGUUAUCUGGUUCUUAAAUAGUUGUAUUACUUAAAGUAAUAAACAUACUGUAGUUCUUCCUUUUCCUUGGCGGAUACAUUCCAAGUCCCCCCAGUGAGUGCCUAAAACCUUGGAUAGUACCAAACCCUAUAUAGACAUAUAGACAAUUUUUUUCUACAUAUAUGUACCUAUGAUAAAGCUUGCUUUAUCAAUUAAACGUAGUAAGAGAUUAACUAAUAAUAAAAUAGAACAAUCAUAACAAUAUACUGUAAGAAAAGUUAUGUAAAUGUGGUCUCUCAAAAUAUCUUGGUGUACUGUACUCACCUAUUUUUUGGGCCUCUGUUUACCAAGUGCAUUGAAACCAUGGAACAUGAAACCAUGGAUAAGAGAGAACUACUGAAUUUCAUAGUAAGCAGAAGAAACAGGAGUUUGAUUUAACUACACAUAUUUCUUCACAAAUAAGUUAGAAAAAAUAUAAAAUAUUCAAGUUUACUAAGAUUACAUUUUAAAAUAAAAAUUAAAAGAGAAAUUAAAGUUGAUGACUGUGGUUUUAAACAUUUACACUCCUUACUUAUUUAUAGCAUUAAAAUAUUUUUAAAAUUAUGCAGAUAGAAUGACUUCUUUUUAAAAAGUCAUGGUUUUAAAAAAAGUUUUAACAUAUUCAUCCUGUAAUAACUCUUUUAUUUAAUAUAAAAAUGUUUUCCAGGGUUUUUAUAGUUUUGUGUUUUACAGUUAAGUCUUCAAUCUAUCUUGAAUUGAUUUUUGUAUAUGGUAUAAGGAAGGGGUCCAGUUUCAAUCUUCCGCAUAUUGCUAGCCAGUUCUCCCAGCAUCAUUUAUUGGAUAGGGAGUCUUUUCCCCAUUGCUUGCUUUUGUCAGCUUUGUUGAAGAUCAGAUGCCUGUAAGUGUGAGGCCCUAUUUCUAAGCUCUCUAUUCCAUUUUAUUGGUCUAUGUGUCUAUUUUUGUACCAGUACCAUGCUGUUUUGGUUACUGUACCCCUGUAGUAUAGUUUCAAGUCAGGUAUUGUGAUGCCUCCAGCUUUGUUCUUUUAGUUUAGGAUUGCCUUGGUUAUUUGGGUUCUUUCUGGGGUCCAUAUGAGUUUUAAAAUAGUUUUUUCUAGUACUGUGAAGAAUGUCAUGGUAGUUUGAUAGGAAUAGCAUUGAAUAUGUAAAUUUGGGGAAGCAGUAUGACCACUUUAAUAAUACUGAUUCUUCCUAUCUAUGAGCAUGGAAUUUUUUUUCAUUUGAUAGGGUGGAGGGUGGGAGAAGGGAGAGGGGCAGAAAAAAUAGCUAUUAGAUACUAGGCUUAGUACCUGAGUGAUGAAAUAAUCUUUAUAAUGACCCCCAUGGCACGAGUUUACCUAUAUAACAAACCUGCACAUGUAACCCUGAACCUAAAAUAAAAGUUAAAAAAUA